rnacentral:lncRNA from 1 species
CUUGAAGCUGUUUCCCUCCCUUUAAAAGCCAUUAUGUUGUAUACAGCCCGAAGGCCUUCAAAGGGGAGAUGUCUAUUUUUGCAGAUCUAUAAGUAUUUUAUCAAAUUGAAUGAGUGUUUAUUUUCUUUGAUCAUGAGACCAUGCAUUUCCAAAACACACAGUUGAAAAUUUCACCCAUGCAUGCAUGACCUUAUCUUGAUCUGAGUCCCACUUCUUCCUAAAGCCGUCCAGGCAAAUACAUUUGUAAUAUUUGUGUGCUUAACUAUGCAUGUCUUCUACAGGGUUCGCUGGCUGCUGUGACACUCAAUCAAAGCACCUACAGUGGGCUGGCCGUGACCAGAGUGGGCAUGAAGCAAGUACCAAGCAGAGCACUGGGUGAUCACCAGGUAAACUGAACAUUACUUAUCACUCCCCAAAGAGCCUUGGUUCCUAGUCCUUGCUCAGUGGAAAGAAAGCACUUGUCUCCUGUGUGUUAAGUGUCUGGUUCUGUGAUUUGUCUUUCAGAAUUGGAAAUAGAACAGCCAUUUGGAGGAUCUGGGCAGGAAGCAGCAGAGCACAGCUUUGGAGCCUUCUUUAGGGAAAUCGAGUUAUGGAUUUAUGGUCCCGGUCAAGCUCAGCCCAGCCCCAGCCAGGGGCGGGCUCGGCAGCAAGAGUUCUUUCUGGUGGUGGCAGCAGCAGCAGCAGCGACAGCGGUAGCAGCGGCAGAGGCAGCGGCAGCUUGGCCCUCUGACUCUCUUCGGUGACGGGUAUUCUUGGGUGGAUAAUACGGAUUACGUUGUUAUUGCUUAAGAAUACGCGUAGUCGAGGAGAGUACCAGCGGCAGGCGGGCAGCAGCCGCCCCUGCCAGCCCACCAGCUGGCCACUAAAAGCUCCCGGUUGCCAAGGGAAAAAGAAGCGUUCCCAAAUGCAGCUCAGAGACCCGAAGAGGUACACUCCGUGUCACUGUCUACAUCAUCUGGUUGUUGUUGGAACAAGACGUCCCCCACAGCCUGCAGCUGUUACACAGAUGGCAAGCCCACAGAGAGUUACCUUUGUAAAGUCACAAAGUUUGCCAUAGGAUUUUGGAGUUGACAAGCCUUGUGAGUCUAAUUGUUCAAUUGUCUGCCUAUAGAAAUAGUAGGGAUACUUUUUAUAGGAUCAAUGAAGAAAAUUUAAAGACCAAAUGAUCAUCAAAAGUAUCUAUAGCUUAUGGAAUGGUUUUAUGUGUAUUAUUAUAUAUUAUAGGUAGGUAAUUCAUUGUUGCUAAUAAUUAUGAUGAUAAGUAUACCUAUUGGAUAGAAAGAAAAAUCUCAGCUAGCUAUAAUUUGACUGCUUUCAUAAUGUUCUGAGAUAUUUUAUAUACACUUACACUGUUAGUAUCAAUGCAUGCCUUAUUUAAAUGUCAAUUUCAUCCUUAAUUCUAAUGUUCUGCUUCUAAAGUUACCAAUUACAUUUUCAUACUAACACCAUAGCGUGUUUGAUAAAUUGUUAGAUUAAUAUUUGACAAUAAAGAUUUUUAGGGUAAACUCUGCCCUGCCCA